UGGGGAAUAUUGGACAAUGGGCGCAAGCCUGAUCCAGCCAUGCCGCGUGAGUGAAGAAGGCCCUCGGGUUGUAAAGCUCUUUUGUCCGGAAAGAAAAGCUUUCGGUUAAUACCCGGAAGUCCUGACGGUACCGGAAGAAUAAGCACCGGCUAACUUCGUGCCAGCAGCCGCGGUAAUACGAAGGGUGCAAGCGUUACUCGGAAUUACUGGGCGUAAAGCGUGCGUAGGUGGUUCGUUAAGUCUGAUGUGAAAGCCCUGGGCUCAACCUGGGAAUUGCAUUGGAUACUGGCGGGCUAGAGUGCGGUAGAGGAUGGCGGAAUUCCCGGUGUAGCAGUGAAAUGCGUAGAGAUCGGGAGGAACAUCCGUGGCGAAGGCGGCCAUCUGGACCAGCACUGACACUGAGGCACGAAAGCGUGGGGAGCAAACA
rnacentral:rRNA from 1 species